rnacentral:rRNA from 1 species
UGAGCAACCUACCGAAAUGAGGGGGAUAGCCGGCCCAACGGCCGGGUAAUACCGCAUACGCUCGAGACCAGGCAUUUGGACUCGAGGAAACCUCCGGGGCAUUUCGAGGGGCUCGCGGCCUAUCAGCUAGUUGGUGAGGUAACGGCUCACCAAGGCGACGACGGGUAGCUGGU